rnacentral:rRNA from 1 species
CACGUAGGGGGCAAGCGUUGUCCGGAUUUAUUGGGCGUAAAGAGCUCGUAGGCGGUUCGGUAAGUUGGGUGUGAAACCUCCAGGCUCAACCUGGAGACGCCACCCGAUACUGCUGUGACUAGAGUCCGGUAGGGGAGCGUGGAAUUCCUGGUGUAGCGGUGAAAUGCGCAGAUAUCAGGAGGAACACCGAUGGCGAAGGCAGGUCUCUGGGCAUUAACUGACGCUGAGGAGCGAAAGCAUGGGGAGCGAACAGG